rnacentral:rRNA from 1 species
GAUGAACGCUGGCGGCGUGCCUAAUACAUGCAAGUCGAGCGAACAGACGAGGAGCUUGCUCCUCUGACGUUAGCGGCGGACGUGUGAGUAACACGUGGAUAACCUACCUAUAAGACUUGGAUAACUUCGUGAAACCGGAGCUAAUACCGGAUAAUAUAUUGAACCGCAUGGUUCAAUAGUGAAAGACGGUUUUGCUGUCACUUAUAGAUGGAUCCGCGCCGCAUUAGCUAGUUGGUAAGGUAACGGCUUACCAAGGCGACGAUGCGUAGCCGACCUGAGAGGGUGAUCGGCCACACUGGAACGGAGACACGGACCAGACACCUACGGGAGGCAGCAGUAGGGAAUAUUCCGCAAUGGGCGAAAGCAUGACGGAGCAACGCAGCGUGAGUGAUGAAGGUCUUCGGAUCGUAAAACUCUGUUAUUAGGGAAGAAAAAAUGUGUAAGUAACUAUGCACGUCUUGACGGUAACUAAUCAGAAAGCCACGGCUAACUACGUG